rnacentral:rRNA from 1 species
GAUGAACGCUGGCGGCGUGCCUAAUACAUCCAAGUCGAGCGAACAGACGAGGAGCUUGCUCCUCUGACGUUAGCGGCGGACGGGUGAGUAACACGUGGAUAACCUACCUAUAAGACUGGGAUAACUUCGGGAAACCGGAGCUAAUACCGGAUAAUAUAUUGAACCGCAUGGUUCAAUAGUGAAAGACGGUUUUGCUGUCACUUAUAGAUGGAUCCGCGCCGCAUUAGCUAGUUGGUAAGGUAACGGCUUACCAAGGCAACGAUGCGUAGCCGACCUGAGAGGGUGAUCGGCCACACUGGAACUGAGACACGGUCCAGACUCCUACGGGAGGCAGCAGUAGGGAAUCUUCCGCAAUGGGCGAAAGCCUGACGGAGCAACGCCGCGUGAGUGAUGAAGGUCUCCGGAUCGUAAAACUCUGUUAUUAGGGAAGAACAAAUGUGUAAGUAACUAUGCACGUCUUGACGGUACCUAAUCAGAAAGCCACGGCUAACUACGUG